AUUACAGGCUGGUCGAGUAUAUUUUAAUGUCGGGUAAUUUGUUUUGGAAUGCCUAAAUUCACAUAAUUGCACGAAAUCUGCGAUAAUAGAUAAAUAUAGGGGCAGCAUUAUAUGCUACCUUGUGCAAUUUCAUUACAACGUUUAGAAAGUAUGAGUAAUUUCCCUACAGUCAGCCCUAAAGGAUACAGUGUUAUAAUUCAAGAUCGCCACUCA